rnacentral:rRNA from 1 species
UACGGAGGAUGCAAGCGUUAUCCGGAUUUAUUGGGCGUAAAGCGUCCGCAGGUGGUUUUCCAAGUCUGCUGUUAAAGCGCGAGGCUUAACCUCGUACAGGCAGUGGAAACUGGAUGACUAGAGUAUGGUAGGGGUAGCGGGAAUUCCCAGUGUAGCGGUGAAAUGCGUAGAUAUUGGGAAGAACACCAGCGGCGAAAGCGGCUCUCUGGAACGGUACUGACGCUGAGACGCGAAAGCGUGGGGAGCAAACAGG